AGAAAGCUGAAAUAUGGCAGGAACUGGACUCGUUAGUGACUGUGGCGUGGCUGUCACCGCCACAGACCAACAUGCUAUUGAUUAUCAUAAUAGCUGUGGUACUGCUAUUGUUCUUAAUGAUGAUUGCUGUCUACAUAUAUAAAAACCCAGACAAACUAGUUCACAUCAGAUCCCGAGUAAUGGCAGCACCUGAUACACUUACAAGAACCUCAAUGUCAGCCUCAACACCAGCUGUCAGAAGUAGAAGUCCUCUUAUAUUGUCCCUUCAUCUUUUAGUAUGUCGUCACUUGCGAAUAUCAAAGAUGGG